rnacentral:rRNA from 1 species
AUUGAACGCUGGCGGAAUGCUUUACACAUGCAAGUCGAACGGUAGAGGGGGCAACCCCUUGAGAGUGGCGAACGGGUGAGUAAUAUAUCGGCACGUGCCCAGUCGUGGGGGAUAACGUAGCGAAAGUUACGCUAAUACCGCAUACGAUCUAAGGAUGAAAGCGGGGGAUCGCAAGACCUCGCGCGACUGGAGCGGCCGAUAUCAGAUUAGGUAGUUGGUAGGGUAAAGGCCUACCAAGCCAACGAUCUGUAGCUGGUCUGAGAGGACGACCAGCCACACUGGAACUGAGACACGGUCCAGACUCCUACGGGAGGCAGCAGUGGGGAAUUUUGGACAAUGGGCGAAAGCCUGAUCCAGCCAUUCCGCGUGCAGGAUGAAGGCCCUCGGGUUGUAAACUGCUUUUGUACAGAACGAAAAGGUUUCUAUUAAUACUAGGAGCUCAUGACGGUACUGUAAGAAUAAGCACCGGCUAACUACGUG